AACAAGGUCUCCGUUGGUGAACCAGCGGAGGGAUCAUUACCGAGUUUACAACUCCCAAACCCCUGUGAACAUACCUUAUGUUGCCUCGGCGGAUCAGCCCGCGCCCCGUAAAAAGGGACGGCCCGCCGCAGGAACCUUAAACUCUGUUUUUAGUGGAACUUCUGAGUAUAAAAAACAAAUAAAUCAAAACUUUCAACAACGGAUCUCUUGGUUCUGGCAUCGAUGAAGAACGCAGCAAAAUGCGAUAAGUAAUGUGAAUUGCAGAAUUCAGUGAAUCAUCGAAUCUUUGAACGCACAUUGCGCCCGCCAGUAUUCUGGCGGGCAUGCCUGUUCGAGCGUCAUUUCAACCCUCAAGCCCAGCUUGGUGUUGGGAGCUGCAGUCCUGCUGCACUCCCCAAAUACAUUGGCGGUCACGUCGAGCUUCCAUAGCGUAGUAAUUUACAUAUCGUUACUGGUAAUCGUCGCGGCCACGCCGUUAAACCCCAACUUCUGAAUGUUGACCUCGGAUCAGGUAGGAAUACCCGCUGAACUUAAGCAUAUCA
rnacentral:rRNA from 1 species